GUUAGAGAAAAUAAUAGGCACCUCUAAAUCAGUACUAAGCCGAUUGACAAAUAAUAAAAAAGCUAUUCGUGAACAGUGGGAAAAAUUAAACGACAACAAAAGUGCACCUGUAAACAGAAAAAGAAGCUAGAAGGCAAAGAUCCAAAAAGCUAGGAACGAAUGGUUUUCUGCUGUUACAGAACAUGGUGUUCGUAUUUUGGGCCCCAUGUUACAGUAAAAAGCUGAAUUUUUUACUGAAAAAAUUGGACAUGGUAAUUUUAAGGCCACAGAAGGUUGGAUAAAUCGUUGGAAGGACCGGAAUAAUAUUAAAUUCAAGCGAUUUCACAGAGAAAAAUCAAGUGCUUCUUCAGUUAAUCGGGACAGUCAGAU
rnacentral:lncRNA from 1 species